rnacentral:rRNA from 1 species
UACGGAGGGUGCGAGCGUUGUCCGGAAUCACUGGGCGUAAAGGGCGCGUAGGCGGUUCGUUAAGUCGUUGGUGAAAUCCCGGGGCUCAACUCCGGGGCGGCCGGCGAGACUGGCGGGCUCGAGCACGGUAGAGGCAGAUGGAAUUCCCGGAGUAGCGGUGGAAUGCGUAGAUAUCGGGAAGAACACCAGUGGCGAAGGCGUUCUGCUGGGCCGUUGCUGACGCUGAGGCGCGACAGCGUGGGGAGCAAACAGG